GACGAACGCUGGCGGCGUGCUUAACACAUGCAAGUCGAACGGAAAGGCCCUGCUUUUGUGGGGUGCUCGAGUGGCGAACGGGUGAGUAACACGUGAGUAACCUGCCCUUGACUUUGGGAUAACUUCAGGAAACUGGGGCUAAUACCGGAUAUGAGCUCCUGCUGCAUGGUGGGGGUUGGAAAGUUUCGGCGGUUGGGGAUGGACUCGCGGCUUAUCAGCUUGUUGGUGGGGUAGUGGCUUACCAAGGCUUUGACGGGUAGCCGGCCUGAGAGGGUGACCGGCCACAUUGGGACUGAGAUACGGCCCAGAAUCCUACGGGAGGCAGCAGUGGGGAAUAUUGCACAAUGGGCGGAAGCCUGAUGCAGAAACGCCGCGUGCGGGAUGACGGCCUUCGGGUUGUAAACCGCUUUCGCCUGUGACGAAGCGUGAGUGACGGUAAUGGGUAAAGAAGCACCGGCUAACUACGUG
rnacentral:rRNA from 1 species